GAUGAACGCUGGCGGCGUGCCUAAUACAUGCAAGUCGAGCGAACAGACGAGGAGCUUGCUCCUCUGACGUUAGCGGCGGACGGGUGAGUAACACGUGGAUAACCUACCUAUCAGACUGGGAUAACUUCGGGAAACCGGAGCUAAUACCGGAUAAUAUAUUGACCCUCAUGGUUCAAUAGUGAAAGACGGUUUUGCUUUCACUUAUAGCUUGAUCCGCGCCGAAUUAACUAGUUGGUAAGGUAAUGGCUUACCAAGGCAACGAUGCGUAGCCGCCCUGAGAGGGAGAAUCGACAGACGGGCAGUGAGGAAAGGUACCGACUCUGAGGGGAGGAAGCAGUAGGGAAUCUUACGGGAGGGGGGAAAGCUUGAUGUAGGAAAGCCGGGGGAGGGAUGAUGGACUUAGGACGCGUAAACGAUGUUAUUAGGGAAGAAGUAAUGUGUUAGUAACUAUGCACGUAUUGACGGUACCGAAAGAGAAAGCUACGGCUAACUACGUG
rnacentral:rRNA from 1 species